UGUUCACUGUGAACUCAUAUCUGGAAGCAAAAACUUGAUUCGAGAGAUCCACAGACAUCUGCCUCCGAACUUAAGAAAAAAAUUUUGGAUGCACGCUUCUGAAUGAAGCCCACAUUUACGAUGGCUAUUCAAUUAACGUUGGGGCUUUAAAAUAAUCGGGAUCAAAGUGCCUAAGCCAAUCAGUAUUUUCAAGAGUACGUUCAAUCAUGCAUGAAUUCGAAGUCAACCAAAUAAUGAAAUAUUUUCUGGAUAAGAAGAAGGAAUUUCAGCCGUGAAGGAGGAGAAGAAAAGAAAUCAUUUUGAGUACCUACAUACAGUCAAAUUAGACAAAAAUUCAGAAAAAGUGUAAACAGAAUUUUCUUCGUAAUUAACAUCGAAAGUUUUUUGCUUCAAAUAUUUCUGAUCUAAAGUAUGGUCACCGUUGUGAAGAGAUCAAUGCACCUUUAAAGAUUAAACAUAAUUCGAAUUCAAGUUGACGAAUGACAACGCGCAAAGACGAAGAAACCCCAAGUGACGCGAUGAUCUUUAUAGAACGCGUCUCCCUUCUUAUCAAACUUACUGAAUAUAAUCAGUUCAUUAUUUAAUGACUGCGAGUGACAAAUUUUAAAAGCUUGGAAAUGUAACUGCAACAAAAAAAAUGUACUGAAUUUCAGAGCAUUUGCAUAAACUUGAGUGCAUUUUAGCCUUGAUCUUAAAAAAAUUUCAUGCAUUUAUAUAAGGAAGGCAGAGAGACGAACUAACUGGGUUUUGAUUUUACCUUGAUUUUCAGUUGACUUUGAUCCUUUCGGAACCGAAAAGUUAAAUUAAACAUCCAC